GAAUCCGCYAAGGAGUGUGUAACAACUCACCUGCCGAAUGAAUUAGCCCUGAAAAUGGAUGGCGCUGAAGCGGGUAGCCGACACCACGCCGUCUGGACAAAGUGGUUUUUUCAGAUGAGUAGGAGGGCGUGGCGGUUGUAUCGAAGCGUGGAUGCGAAUCUGCGUGGAACAGCCGCUAGUGCAGAUCUUGGUGGUAGUAGCAAAUAUUCAAGCGAGAUCCUUGAAGGGCGAAGCGGGGAAGGGUUCCACGCGAACAUUGAUUGGGCGUGGGUGAGUCGUUCCUAAGCCGCGUGGCAAUAGCUAAUUACCGGCGAAAGGGAAGCAGGUUGACAUUCCUGCACACGGAUGUGGAGACGGCGACGAUACAUGAGGCGAUCACGCUGGCGGUGGCGCUGGGCAGAGUUGUCUUUUCUGUUUGACCAACGAAUACUUGCUGUGUGGAAUCCGCUUGUCGGGAGAAACACGCAAGUACGGGCAGAGCGCCGGGGCUUUUCCGGCGUCCAGCUCGCCACCGACGGCCCUUGAAAAAUUGCCUGCUGGACAACAUUUCGGUGUUGUGAGAUCCACGCCGUGGCGUACCGAUAACCGCAUCAGGUCCCCAAGGUGAACAGCCUCUGCUCAGUAUGAACAAUGCAGGUAAGGGAAGUCGGCAA
rnacentral:rRNA from 1 species